rnacentral:rRNA from 1 species
UACGAAGGGGGCAAGCGUUUGUUCGGAAUUACUGGGCGUAAAGGGCGCGCAGGCGGCCGAUCAAGUCAGAUGUGAAAGCCCCGGGCUCAACCUGGGAAUAGCAUUUGGGACUGGUCGGCUAGAGUUCGGGGAGAGGAGAGCGGAAUUUCCCAGUGUAGAGGUGAAAAUUCGUUAGAUAUUUGGGGAAGAACACCGGUGGCGAAAGGCGGCUCUCUGGACCGACACUACG